UACGUAGGGGGCGAGCGUUGUCCGGAUUUAUUGGGCGUAAAGAGCGUGUAGGCGGUUCGGUAAGUCUGUCGUGAAAUCCUGGGGCUCAACCCUGGGCGUGCGGUGGAUACUGCCGGGCUAGAGGGUGGUAGAGGCGAGUGGAAUUCCCGGUGUAGCGGUGAAAUGCGCAGAUAUCGGGAGGAACACCAGUAGCGAAGGCGGCUCGCUGGGCCAUUCCUGACGCUGAGACGCGAAAGCUAGGGGAGCGAACAGG
rnacentral:rRNA from 1 species